UGGGGAAUAUUGGACAAUGGGCGAAAGCCUGAUCCAGCAAUGCCGCGUGUGUGAAGAAGGCCUUCGGGUUGUAAAGCACUUUCAGUGGGGAAGAAAAGUCCAGUGCUAAUAUCACUGGACCUUGACGGUACCCAAAGAAGAAGCACCGGCUAACUCUGUGCCAGCAGCCGCGGUAAUACAGAGGGUGCAAGCGUUAAUCGGAAUUACUGGGCGUAAAGCGCACGUAGGUGGAUAUUUAAGUCGGAUGUGAAAUCCCCGGGCUUAACCUGGGAACUGCAUUCGAUACUGAAUAUCUUGAGUAUGGUAGAGGAAAGUGGAAUUUCCGGUGUAGCGGUGAAAUGCGUAGAUAUCGGAAGGAACACCAGUGGCGAAGGCGGCUUUCUGGACCAAUACUGACACU
rnacentral:rRNA from 1 species